rnacentral:rRNA from 1 species
CAGCAGCCGCGGGAAUACGGAGGGUGCGAGCGUUGUCCGGAUUUAUUAGGUUUAAAGGGUGCGUAGGUGGCUUUUUAAGUCAGUGGUGAAAUACAGCCGCUCAACGGUUGAGGUGCCAUUGAUACUGAAGAGCUUGAAACAAGUGGAGGCUGCCGGAAUGGAUGGUGUAGCGGUGAAAUGCGUAGAGAUCGGGAAGAACACCAGUGGCGAAGGCGGCUCACUGGACCGACACUGACGCUGAGGCGCGAAAGCGUGGGGAGCAAACAGGAUUAGAUACCCCCGUAGUCCCUGUCUCUUAUAC